GGAGGUUCGGGGCCGAGACC
rnacentral:siRNA from 1 species